UAGGGAAUCUUCCGCAAUGGACGCAAGUCUGACGGAGCAACGCCGCGUGAGUGAAGAAGGAUCUCGGUUCGUAAAACUCUGUUGUUAGAGAAGAACAGCGCAUAGAGUAACUGUUAUGCGUGUGACGGUAUCUAACCAGAAAGCCACGGCUAACUACGUGCCAGCAGCCGCGGUAAUACGUAGGUGGCAAGCGUUGUCCGGAUUUAUUUGGCGUAAAGCGAGCGCGGGCGGUCAAUUAAGUCUGAUGUGAAAGCCCCCGGCUCAACCGGGGAGGUUCAUUGAAAACUGGUUGACUGGAGUGCAGAAGAGGAGAGUGUAAUUCCAUGUAUAGCGGUGAAGUGCGUAGAUAUAUAGAGGAACACCAGUUGCGAAGGCGACGCUCUGGUCUGUAACAGACGUUGAGGCUUGAAAGAGUGGGUAGCAGACAGG
rnacentral:rRNA from 1 species